GGAGGAAUACCCAAGUCCGGCUGAAGGGGAUCGGUCUUGAAAAACCGACAGGGGGUGUUAAAGCCCCGCGGGGGGUUCGAAUCCCCUCUUCCGCCGCUA
rnacentral:tRNA from 1 species